CGGGGGCACACCCGGUCCCAUCUCGAACCCGGCAGUUAAGCCCGCCAGCGCCGAUGGUAGUUUGGGGAUUCCCCACGCGAGAGUAGGCCAUCGCCAACA
rnacentral:rRNA from 1 species